GGGGAUGUUCCGGUUUCGACUAGGAAGCAGAGGCUUGAGUUGCAGGUGGAGAGCCGUACUCCUAAAAAGCGGCAAACUUUAUAACUGCCAACAAUGACAGUUCCGACUACGCAUUAGCUGCGUAAUCGCGGAACCUACCGAGUGUUGCUUCCGAGCGAGGUAGAGUUCCGACGCUACUCGGAGCUUGCUUUUUACCGGAUGCGGACGGUAAAAAGGACACUUCCCGCAAUACGGAUUCGACGCUUUCGGCGCUGACACCGGAUCCCGACAAUCACCUCGCGCCGAUAAACCUGUAGACGCUCCUGUGUCUCUUUUUAGGACGGGGGUUCAAUUCCCCCCAUCUCCAACA
rfam:Treponema sp. OMZ 838, complete genome.